UCAUCGAGAAUAGCAGCUUAUUAAAACGGAGUUAGUAAAUUGACGUUGGCCUAACACAGUUGCGAAAUAGCAUAGUUUUUUUUAUAUAUAUUUUAUUUUAUUUAAACUGUCGUUUUUUGUCAUUUUUGACAUCUGGGUCGACUGGGUGCUUUACGAACUAGAUUAGGAACUAGCAGUGAGUGCAGUCGCAAGUCCAAGACCUGGAGACUUUAACGGUUUCUUGUCAGCAUUGGGGCUAAAAACUGAGGUAAACCAAACGUUUUAUUUAAAAAAAAAGACUUUGUGGGUUUAUUGAAUUACCGAUUAAAAGCAUUUUUUUAUCGAGCACAGUUAAGCUUAACGUUACAUUAAGACGAAGUUAGUUAGUAAAUAACGUUGCCCUCUAACUUAGUUGAGUAAUAGCAUCGUGGUUUUUUUUUCCAUUUAAACGGUGUUUUUAUAUUUUUCCUCAUUUUUGACAUUUGGGUCGACAGUGUGCUUUAAGAAUUUGAUUAGGAACUAGCAGCGCAGUGCAGAGGCCAGAGCUCACGGUUCUGGAUUCCCUUAACGGUUUCUUUUCAGCAUUGGGGCUAAAAACUGAGGUAAAGUUAACGUUAAAAAAAAGAAAAGAAAAGACGAGUGUAUUGAAUUAGGAUUAAAAACCAGAUGUUUUUUUUUUUCGAGCAAAGUAAAUCUUUCAUUUAAGGCGAAUUAAGCCUAGUCUAUGAAAUGUUAUUUUUAAGCUGCAUUUUAAACAUGUAGUAAUAAUAGGUCUUUUUGUGUUUUAAAAACAGCUACAAUAAAGGCAUCCAUCGAGAAAGACAUGAGCCUUCCAGCCACACCAAGACUCAUAAUGCUUGGUCACAAUUUUUCUCUUCCACAAAGUGGAUGGUAAGCAUUGAGGGAAAGGUGGCCUAUGUUUUGGAUGAGCACCUGGGAUGAGCAGAUGCCUUUCUGUAUUCUUCAUCUUCUACGUUUUCAACAUUGAAUACAAGGGGAGACUGCCUGUGCAACACUGGAACUCAUAAAACAGUUUUUCUUGAGGAUAAACCCAGAGGAGGGAACAAAAUGCACCGCCAAAACCGGAGUGAGUCGGAAGACAGGGGAAGUUGUGAAGAGAAAGACAACAGUA